UACAGAGGGUGCGAACGUUGCUCGGAAUUAUUGGGCGUAAAGAGCUCGUAGGCGGUUUGUCGCGUCUGCCGUGAAAGUCCGGGGCUCAACUCCGGAUCUGCGGUGGGUACGGGCAGGCUAGAGUGAUGUAGGGGAGACUGGAAUUCCUGGUGUAGCGGUGAAAUGCGCAGAUAUCAAGAGGAACACCGAUGGCGAAGGCAGGUCUCUGGGCAUUAACUGACGCUGAGGAGCGAAAGCAUGGGGAGCGAACAGG
rnacentral:misc_RNA from 1 species